UAUUAUUUGAUUUUGUCUUGCUUGUGUUUCUAAUUUUGUCUCUGUUUCUUAAUGCGGCUUUCUCAUUUUUACUCUACUCGCCGAGGGUCGAUUGGAAGCAGCCUCUCUGCCCUUUCGGGCAGGGGUAAGGCUCGUCUACAUAUUACCCUCCCCAGACCCCACCUGGUGGGAGUAUACUGGGUAGUUGUUGUUGUUGUUGUA
rnacentral:lncRNA from 1 species